UAAUUAUCUAAUAAGUCAGAGUGCUGCUUUGAAAGCUAAAUUAUUUUAUUGUAAUUCAGAUAGCUCAUGUUUUGGGGUAAAUGUUUUUUUACAUAGCGACAGAAAUGUCCUAUCAUGAAAUAAAUUAGUAGCUAUAUUGAACAUUAGUAAAGGCACAGUGUUUCAGGGAUAAUAUUUUUUAUUACUUUGAGUUCUACAAGUAAAGAUGUUUGUAACACCACAAAUAUGAGUUAAAUGGCAACUGAAUAUUUCACUGAUGGCAAAUCUUCAAUAUUUAAUGGUAGAUUUGAUAUUUUACUUAUGAAGGUCAUCUGGAGCCAUAUACCAUAUAGUAAAUUACUCAAAUGAUUGAUUUUUAAAAAUAUUGUUUUAGGUCAAAAAAUAAAAGAAGAUGGAAGGAAGGAUGUACAGAAGGAAGGGAAAAAAAAGAAAGAAACUGUGACUAUGAAGAGACAGAGCCAGGAUUUGAAUCCAUAUCUAUCUCGCUCCAAAGACUGAGAUUCCCUCUGAGUGAUGUGGAUAAAGACAUCAGAUACACACCAGUAACACCCAAAGCCACUGUCAGAUGUCAUGGGAAUGAGACCUCACAAGAUAUUGGAGGCCUUAAUCAAGAGGAUCCUUGAAACAUAUCCACCUGACAGUUGGAGGACAGUUCUAUACCCCUAGAGGUGAGAACUUUUCAUGUUAUUUGAUUUCAUUUGAUUAAAUGGGAUGAUCUUUCCCUUUAGUGGUGAGGUGGUCAUAUUUCAUUACACCAACUGGCAGCAAAAGAUAGCAAUACAGAAAAGCUGAAAGCCAAACUUUGAGUUAUAAAUGUUUCUAUGGCGGUGACCCUUUGUGAAUUUAAAAAUUGAUUUUAAGACCCCUUUUCAUCAUUCUCCAUAUUUUCAGUCUUGGUCAACAGGUCUGCCCCUAGUGUCAAAGUGUUUUAUUACCCUACAAAGCUUUUAAUUAAGUGUUUGUGAGCUCAAAUAUAUAUUAAAACAGCAUGGUGGAAGCAGUGGCCCAGUGCCUCCUUGCUGGAGGCAUUCUUGUGAAACAAAUGAUUUUUCUUAUAUGAUCUUAGAAUAUAUCCAUUUCAGAAUAUAUAUGUUCAAGGUGUCCAAAAUAUGUGUGUGUAUACAUGCUUGUGUAUAGUAUGUAGUUUAUAAAUUUAUUUGAACUUCACUAAAGACAUCAGAAUAAAUAUUAUGUAUAUGUUUGAAAAUAUUAAAUGUCCAAAGAGUUUUUAUAAAAACUAAAACUGUACUUUUGCAUAUUAUUGAANNNNNNNNNNNNNNNNNNNNNNNNNNNNNNNNNNNNNNNNNNNNNNNNNNNNNNNNNAAUAAGUAUUUUAUGAAGAAAAACAUAUUUUUAAAAACUGCAUAUUUUUA
rnacentral:lncRNA from 10 species